ACGUCACGUACUUAGGGGAAAGUCACGCUGGAGGGCAAGAGCUAUCGGCCGUUGUAUGCAGGUUGAGCGAGUAAUUUAUUUUGUUUAGCUUAAAUACUAAAUAGUUGUUGUGAAAUAAAAUGAACGUAUCGAAGAGACAAGCCUGAGCUAUGCUUCUACAGAAUAUAGUCGGAGAAGAAAUCACAGAAAGGAGCAAUUUGUGAAUUUUGUGCGAUAAAUGUAUGUGCAUCUGUCCCCAGCUGAGGGAAACAAUGACAGCCGUACAUAUUUACAGUGAUUGCUUCAUCAAAGGAUAUUUUCAUGCGGGUGCAUGGUGGAAGACAAACAUUCUGGAUUCGGAUGGAGGUUGUGCAAAAGAGUUGAAGGAAAGGGAUUGAAACACAUCCACCCACACCAAAGGGAGCAGGCAAAUGAGAUGUCUAUGUGACCUGCUUGGAUUUCACAGAGUUAAGGCUAAUUAAUGGACACCCCAUGGGCUGCCGUUUCCUUGAAGCUAUGAUCAGUGAGUUUAUUAUAUCAUCUGCAGUACAUCACACUGUGACUAAUGCCCAAUGCCUUGCAAACGGCUG